rnacentral:rRNA from 1 species
UCGAACGAGAUCUUCGGAUCUAGUGGCGCACGGGUGCGUAACGCGUGGGAAUCUGCCCUUGGGUGCGGAAUAACUUCUCGAAAGGGAUGCUAAUACCGCAUAAUGUCGUAAGACCAAAGAUUUAUCGCCCAAGGAUGAGCCCGCGUAAGAUUAGCUAGUUGGUGGGGUAAAAGCCUACCAAGGCGACGAUCUUUAGCUGGUCUGAGAGGAUGAUCAGCCACACUGGGACUGAGACACGGCCCAGACUCCUACGGGAGGCAGCAGUGGGGAAUAUUGGACAAUGGGCGAAAGCCUGAUCCAGCAAUGCCGCGUGAGUGAUGAAGGCCCUAGGGUUGUAAAGCUCUUUUACCCGGGAUGAUAAUGACAGUACCGGGAGAAUAAGCUCCGGCUAACUUCGUGCCAGCAGCCGCGGUAAUACGAGGGGAGCUAGCGUUGUUCGGAAUUACUGGGCGUAAAGCGCGCGUAGGCGGCUUUUUAAGUCAGAGGUGAAAGCCCGGGGCUCAACCCCGGAAUUGCCUUUGAAACUGGAAAGCUAGAAUCUUGGAGAGGUCAGUGGAAUUCCGAGUGUAGAGGUGAAAUUCG